UAAAGUUCAUCACUUUGUAGUUUUAAAUCAUGUAAUUUGUAUUAUGUCCAUUCACAGUGUACUUUUGUUCUAUGCUUAUUUUUUUUAAGUCCGAAAGAAAAUCAGGAUAGAAGAAUUAAAAGGGUUGAAGCAGGUUUGAUGUUAUUUGGACUUGCAUUCAUCUUUCACUUAGAUCAGUGUUGCCCAAUUCCAGUCUUCAGGCCCCCCUGCCUGCAUGUUUUAGAUGUGCCUCUAUACCAGAACAGCUGAUUCAAAUGAUUGCAUGACAUCUUCUGCAGCCACCAAGUACUACAGGAGCCUGUUAAUCACCCAAAGAUUCAAUCCAGACUGUGUGCUGAUGGCCACACCUUCGCCAAAGCAGCCGAGGCACAAAUUGAGGUACAAAGGAUACCACCAAUCUUACAGAUGCCUCUGCAUGAACUUGAAGCUGUUCACCAGGAGGAGGUUCUGACCCAGGAGACACAGCUGACCUCACCUUGGCAUUGACCUGCAGGUCCUUUCAAGCCAUUGUGUCUGACCCAGUUUUCAGGAAGAAGACUCACUUUGCUUGGCUGGACGAUCAACUGGGGUAAAUUUUCAUAGUCAUUCCAGGCAGAAAACCGGAUUCCUCUUGCUGUUGUAACGUGUUUUUCCUGCCACCGGCGAUAUAAAGUCUGGUGAAGACUGCUGGUCUUCACCAGCAGUGGAAGACCAGGAGAGAUCCCUCCUUAUUACUGUGAUGGCUCAUCUGGACCCUGACCUGAAUGUCAACACUGAAUGCAAGGAGAAUAUUAGUUGCUUUCCACAAUCUGUCACACAUUGUUGUUAGUUUUUUUUUGUGACAUGUCAUUUUAAAUAGUUUCUGCUAAAGCACAUAUAUCUUUUGACUUGUGCAGUCAUCCUUUUUCAUAAUGUGUUCUUUCAAUAUUAUGUACAUUUUUGAAAGUUUCUUUUGUUGUAGCUCCGUUGAUUUACAUCAUUUAGUUUUCAUAGAAAUGGUGUCGUUUUCACAUAAAGUUACUUUGUGGCUGUAACUUUAUGUGGAACCAAUAAAGUAGUUGUAAAUAUAUUGUAACGGUGUUGUUUAAGACGUUAAAUUUUUUUAAUCACAUCAUGUGUUAAUGCGACAGCCCUAAACUACACCCACAGGUGUGUCUCCAUUUAUCUAAAUGUUGUGAAUCAGAAGCUUAAAAAGCCUCGUCGUCAUGUUCCCCAAUUGGUUUAAAAGUAAAUUUGAUCUUAGUCAAUGCAAACAUCUAUUGUUUUUUGUAGUUGCUGCUGUUAGGAAGUAACAAUUUUCUUUAUCCUGACAUUUAAGCAACUAUAAAUAAUUUCUAAAAUUUAUCUGAAAUGGGCAUUUUAGAUUGAAUUAAUAGCAAGCAGUAGAAAAAGCUGUCAUUUUAAACAUUUAAUUUAAAUCUGGUUUUAUUUGUACAUCCAAAAAUGAGGGGUUUUUUAAAUCUGCUUUAAAAUCACAGUCUAGGUUUCCCUUAUGUCUCUCUCUGAGAGAUAAGCUGUUACCUAGAGCAGAAGUGUUUGUGUUUUAUUUACAAAGAAAUUUGAAGAACUGAAAUAAAACCAGAACCAGAAUCAAUACGCCAUGUUUCUCCAGAUUGAAAAUGGGAAACUUUGACACUCUCAUGACCAGUUGCACAUUACUUUUAAUUCAAGAAUUAAAUUUAAAUAUCUGUGCAACAUAAUUUUUCAUGUGUUGUAAAUUUACCCUAUAUCUUUUUUAGGUUGCUUUGAAUAUGGAUGCAUUCAAAACAUUUGGACAAUAAAAGAUAUUUCUUUUCUAUUUGGUGGCUUUUUAGACCAACUUAUAGAUUAAAUUUUUUUUGUCCACAAAACUCCAGUCGGGUUGUUUCCUGAUUAUUGGGGCCUGCCCAUAGCA